rnacentral:tRNA from 1 species
GAGGAUAUAGCCUAGUGGUAGAGUGCAUGCCUAGCAUACAUGAGGUCCUGGGUUCAAUCCCCAGCACCCUGA